rnacentral:lncRNA from 1 species
UAACCGAUCCUAUUUCAGUCCUAACAUGAAAUAAGAAAUGAAUGAUUGACACAAGACGACUUUGGUUCACACAUGCAAAUACUUUGAAAGGUGUCAGCGGAUGAGCAGAGCUGGAGCUUGGCAUGUUCAUCCACUGAAGAGUCUUUGUCUUAAUUUAGACAUAAUAGGUGUCCACCCCUACUUCAAAACUAUAGGGUGUGCGAACUCUAUUCCUCUAUCAUUUCUAA